rnacentral:rRNA from 1 species
CGUAGAGUCGACUUGGAGGUUGUGCCCUUGAGGCGUGGCUUCCGGAGCUAACGCGUUAAGUCGACCGCCUGGGGAGUACGGCCGCAAGGUUAAAACUCAAAUGAAUUGACGGGGGCCCGCACAAGCGGUGGAGCAUGUGGUUUAAUUCGAUGCAACGCGAAGAACCUUACCUGGUCUUGACAUCCACGGAAUUCGGCAGAGAUGCCUUAGUGCCUUCGGGAACCGUGAGACAGGUGCUGCAUGGCUGUCGUCAGCUCGUGUUGUGAAAUGUUGGGUUAAGUCCCGCAACGAGCGCAACCCUUAUCCUUUGUUGCCAGCGGUCCGGCCGGGAACUCAAAGGAGACUGCCAGUGAUAAACUGGAGGAAGGUGGGGAUGACGUCAAGUCAUCAUGGCCCUUACGACCAGGGCUACACACGUGCUACAAUGGCGCAUACAAAGAGAAGCGACCUCGCGAGAGCAAGCGGACCUCAUAAAGUGCGUCGUAGUCCGGAUUGGAGUCUGCAACUCGACUCCAUGAAGUCGGAAUCGCUAGUAAUCGUGGAUCAGAAUGCCACGGUGAAUACGUUCCCGGGCCUUGUACACACCGCCCGUCACACCAUGGGAGUGGGUUGCAAAAGAAGUAGGUAGCUUAACCUUCGGGAGGGCGCUUACCACUUUGUGAUUCAUGACUGGGGUGAAGUCGACAAAGGGGAAACCGGAACAGUUGCGUAUCCUGACUGCAUGUAAGUGGUAACAA